rnacentral:rRNA from 1 species
AUUGAACGCUGGCGGCAUGCCUUACACAUGCAAGUCGAACGGAUCAGAAGGGCUUGCUCUUCUGGUUAGUGGCGAACGGGUGAGUAAUGCAUCGGAACGUACCCAGUCGUGGGGGAUAACGUAGCGAAAGUUACGCUAAUACCGCAUACGAUCUGAGGAUGAAAGCGGGGGACCUUCGGGCCUCGCGCGAUUGGAGCGGCCGAUGUCGGAUUAGCUAGUUGGUGAGGUAAAGGCUCACCAAGGCGACGAUCCGUAGCUGGUCUGGGAGGACGACCAGCCACACUGGGACUGAGACACGGCCCAGACUCCUACGGGAGGCAGCAGUGGGGAAUUUUGGACAAUGGGCGAAAGCCUGAUCCAGCCAUGCCGCGUGAGUGAAGAAGGCCUUCGGGUUGUAAAGCUCUUUCAGACGGAAAGAAAUCUUCUGGGUGAAUAUCCCGGGAGGAUGACGGUACCGUAAGAAGAAGCACCGGCUAACUACGUGCCAGCAGCCGCCGUAA